rnacentral:rRNA from 1 species
AGUUUGAUCCUGGCUCAGAUUGAACGCUGGCGGCAUGCCUUACACAUGCAAGUCGAACGGUAACGGGCCUUCGGGUGCCGACGAGUGGCGAACGGGUGAGUAAUGCAUCGGAACGUACCUUUCAGUGGGGAUAACGUAGCGAAAGUUACGCUAAUACCGCAUAUUCUGUGAGCAGGAAAGCAGGGGAUCGCAAGACCUUGCGCUGAUUGAGCGGCCGAUGUCAGAUUAGCUAGUUGGUGAGGUAAAGGCUCACCAAGGCGACGAUCUGUAGCGGGUCUGAGAGGAUGAUCCGCCACACUGGAACUGAGACACGGUCCAGACUCCUACGGGAGGCAGCAGUGGGAAUUUUGGACAAUGGGGGCAACCCUGAUCCAGCCAUGCCGCGUGAGUGAAGAAGGCCUUCGGGUUGUAAAGCUCUUUCAGCCGGGAAGAAAUCGUAUGGGCUAAUACCCUGUGCGGAUGACGGUACCGGCAUAAGAAGCACCGGCUAACUACGUG